rnacentral:rRNA from 1 species
UAGCCCUAAAUCUUGAUGACCCCGAACACAAACAUCCGCCUGAGAACUACGAGCACAAACGCUUAAAACUCUAAGGACUUGGCGGUGCUCUAAACCCACCUAGAGGAGCCUGUUCUAUAAUCGAUAACCCACGAUUCACCCGACCACCUCUUGCCAAAACAGCCUAUAUACCGCCGUCGCCAGCCCACCUCGUGAGAGCACAACAGUGAGCCCAACAGCCCACAGCCCACUAACAAGACAGGUCGAGGUAUAGCCUAUGAGAUGGAAGAAAUGGGCUACAUUUUCUAAAAUAGAAAACCCAACGAAAAGGGGCUUGAAACCUGCCCCCAGAAGGCGGAUUUAGCAGUAAAGUAGGA